rnacentral:snRNA from 1 species
GUGCUCGCUUCACCAGCACAUAUACUAAAAUUGGAACAAUACACAGAAGAUUAGCAUGGCCCCUGCGCAAGGAUGACACGCAAACUCAUGAAGCAUUCCAUAUUAAA